rnacentral:tRNA from 1 species
CUAGAGAAAGAGGAACACACCCCCUCCUUAAUGAU